UGUCGUCAGCUCGUGUUGUGAAAUGUUGGGUUAAGUCCCGCAACGAGCGCAACCCUUAUCCUUUGUUGCCAGCACGUGAUGGUGGGAACUCAAAGGAGACUGCCGGUGAUAAACCGGAGGAAGGUGGGGAUGACGUCAAGUCAUCAUGGCCCUUACGAGUAGGGCUACACACGUGCUACAAUGGCAGAUACAAAGUGAAGCGAACUCGCGAGAGCAAGCGGACCACAUAAAGUCUGUCGUAGUCCGGAUUGGAGUCUGCAACUCGACUCCAUGAAGUCGGAAUCGCUAGUAAUCGUAGAUCAGAAUGCUACGGUGAAUACGUUCCCGGGCCUUGUACACACCGCCCGUCACACCAUGGGAGUGGGUUGCAAAAGAAGUAGGUAGCUUAACCUUCGGGAGGGCGCUUACCACUUUGUGAUUCAUGACUGGGGUGAAGUCGUAACAAGGUAACCGUAGGGGAACCU
rnacentral:rRNA from 1 species